ACACAUGCAGUCGAGCGAGACCUUCGGGUCUAGCGGCGGACGGGUUAGUAACGCGUGGGAACGUGCCCUUCUCUGCGGAAUAGCCACUGGAAACGGUGAGUAAUACCGCAUACGCCCUUCGGGGGAAAGAUUUAUCGGAGAAGGAUCGGCCCGCGUUAGAUUAGAUAGUUGGUGGGGUAAUGGCCUACCAAGUCUACGAUCUAUAGCUGGUUUUAGAGGAUGAUCAGCAACACUGGGACUGAGACACGGCCCAGACUCCUACGGGAGGCAGCAGUGGGGAAUCUUAGACAAUGGGCGCAAGCCUGAUCUAGCCAUGCCGCGUGUGUGAUGAAGGUCUUAGGAUCGUAAAGCACUUUCGCCAGGGAUGAUAAUGACAGUACCUGGUAAAGAAACCCCGGCUAACUCCGUGCCAGCAGCCGCGGUAAUACGGAGGGGGUUAGCGUUGUUCGGAAUUACUGGGCGUAAAGCGUACGUAGGCGGAUCAGAAAGUAAGGGGUGAAAUCCCAGGGCUCAACCCUGGAACUGCCUCUUAAACUCCUGGUCUUGAGUUCGAGAGAGGUGAGUGGAAUUCCAAGUGUAGAGGUGAAAUUCGUAGAUAUUUGGAGGAACACCAGUGGCGAAGGCGGCUCACUGGCUCGAUACUGACGCUGAGGUACGAAAGUGUGGGGAGCAAACAGGAUUAGAUACCCUGGUAGUCCACACCGUAAACGAUGAAUGCCAGUCGUCGGGCAGUAUACUGUUCGGUGACACACCUAACGGAUUAAGCAUUCCGCCUGGGGAGUACGGUCG
rnacentral:rRNA from 1 species